AUACGGGGGGUGCAAGCGUUAAUGGGAAUUACUGGGCGUAAAGCGCGCGUAGGCGGUUUGCUCAGUCGGAUGUGAAAGCCCAGGGCUCAACCUUGGAACUGCAUACGAUACUGGCAAACUAGAGUGUGAGAGAGGAUAGUGGAAUUUCCGGUGUAGCGGUGAAAUGCGUAGAUAUCGGAAGGAACAUCAGUGGCGAAGGCGACUGUCUGGCUCAACACUGACGCUGAGGUGCGAAAGUGUGGGUAGCAAACAGGAUUAGAAACCCUAGUAGUCC
rnacentral:rRNA from 1 species